rnacentral:misc_RNA from 1 species
ACAAGGUAGCCGUACCGGAAGGUGCGGCUGGAUCACCUCCUUUCUAAGGAGCACCAUUUCCCAGUCGAAUGAACUAGGGAACAUAAAGUAGGCAUCUGUAGUGGGUAUCUACUUGGUGAAUAUGUUUUGUAAAUCCUGUCCACCCCCGUGGAUGGGUAGUCGGCAAAACGUCGGACUGUCAUAAGAAUUGAAACGCUGGCACACUGUUGGGUCCUGAGGCAACACGUUGUGUUGUCACCCUGCUUGGUGGUGGGGUGUGGACUUUGACUUCUGAAUAGUGGUUGCGAGCAUCUAAACAUAGCCUCGCUCGUUUUCGAGU